UACGGGGGGGGCAAGCGUUGUUCGGAAUUACUGGGCGUAAAGGGCUCGUAGGUGGCCAACUAAGUCAGACGUGAAAUCCCUCGGCUUAACCGGGGAACUGCGUCUGAUACUGGAUGGCUUGAGUUCGGGAGAGGGAUGCGGAAUUCCAGGUGUAGCGGUGAAAUGCGUAGAUAUCUGGAGGAACACCGGUGGCGAAGGCGGCAUCCUGGACCGACACUGACGCUGAGGAGCGAAAGCCAGGGAGCAAAGCGG
rnacentral:rRNA from 1 species